rnacentral:tRNA from 1 species
UGGCUUUAUAUUCAAGUAUGAUUCUAGACUGCAAUUCUAGGGGUGUAAAAUUUUACUAAGGCC